CGGGGCCGCUGCGGGCAGGGCGGACAAAAGGCGCCGGAACGGCGUGAGGGAGGGUGGGCGCCGCGGGCAGGGAAGCUGUUCCCAUGGCUUGUGGGGAGUGCAGCGCUUCAGCACUUGCUCAGGAUCCAGCACGUAGGAAUAUCAGCCACUUCCAGCACAGAGAACUGACGUGCAGAUAGCAGAACCCUGCUGCAAGGUGAAUCAUGAUUCCAGUCACCGAGCUGCGCUACUUCGCUGACACUCAGCCAGCCUACCGCAUCCUGAAGCCGUGGUGGGAUGUCUUCACCGACUACAUCUCCAUAGUGAUGCUGAUGAUCGCCGUGUUCGGAGGGACCCUCCAGGUCACCCAGGACAAAAUGAUUUGUUUGCCGUGUAAAUGGGUUACCAAAGACUCUUGCAAUGACUCUGUCAGGGGAUGGACAGCAGUAGCCCCAGAGCGUACCUACUACAACACUAGUCUUGUUCCCUCUGCUGAUUCGGGGCCUACAGGGAUCCGAUAUGAUCUGGACCGGCACCAGUACAACUAUGUGGAUGCUGUGUGUUAUGAGAAUCGUCUCCACUGGUUUGCCAAGUAUUUUCCUUACCUAGUGCUGCUACAUACCCUCAUCUUUCUGGCUUGUAGCAACUUCUGGUUCAAGUUCCCAAGGACCAGCUCCAAGCUGGAGCAUUUUGUGUCUAUUUUGCUUAAGUGUUUUGACUCUCCAUGGACAACAAGAGCAUUGUCUGAGACAGUGGUGGAAGAGAGUGAUACCAAACCAGCAUUUGGGAAAAUGAAUGGCUCCAUGGACAAGAAAUCCUCCACUGUCAGUGAGGAUGUGGAAGCCACUGUUCCCAUGCUGCAGAGAACAAAGUCUCGAAUUGAGCAAGGGAUUGUGGACAGGUCUGAGACUGGUGUCUUAGACAAAAAGGAAGGUGAGCAAGCCAAAGCACUCUUUGAGAAAGUGAAAAAGUUCCGUACUCAUGUGGAAGAGGGAGACAUAGUUUAUCGCCUGUACAUGAGACAGACCAUAAUCAAAGUAAUCAAGUUCAUUCUGAUAAUUUGCUAUACUGUGUACUAUGUCAACAACAUAACAUUUGAUGUAGACUGUAAAGUGGACAUUGAGAGCUUGACUGGCUACAGGAUGUACCGCUGUGCUCAUCCUUUGGCCACUCUCUUCAAAAUCUUGGCGUCCUUCUACAUCAGUCUGGUGAUUUUCUAUGGUUUGAUCUGCAUGUACACACUGUGGUGGAUGUUGAGGCGGUCACUCAAGAAAUACUCCUUUGAGUCCAUCCGGGAGGAGAGCAGUUACAGUGACAUUCCUGAUGUGAAAAAUGACUUUGCUUUCAUGCUCCAUCUGAUCGAUCAGUACGAUCCCCUCUACUCCAAGCGCUUUGCUGUUUUUCUGUCAGAGGUGAGUGAGAACAAAUUGCGGCAGCUGAACCUCAACAAUGAGUGGACCUUGGAGAAACUACGCCAGAGAAUCACCAAAAACUCUCAGGAUAAGCUGGAAUUGCAUCUUUUCAUGUUGAGUGGCAUUCCUGACACAGUCUUUGACCUCAUUGAGUUGGAGGUCUUGAAGCUGGAGCUUAUCCCUGAUGUCACUAUUCCCCCCAGCAUUGCUCAGCUCACCAGCCUUAAGGAACUGUGGCUCUACCACACAGCUGCCAAAAUUGAGGCCCCAGCCCUUGCCUUCUUGAGGGAGAAUUUGAAAUCUCUCCACAUCAAGUUCACAGACAUUAAGGAGAUUCCUCUUUGGAUUUAUAGCCUGAAGACACUAGAGGAGCUUCACUUGACAGGGAAUUUGAGUGCUGAAAACAACCGGUACAUUGUGAUAGAUGGAUUGAGGGAGCUGAAGAGGCUGAAGGUGUUGAGGAUGAAGAGUAACCUCACCAAGCUGCCGCAAGUGGUGACAGAUGUUGGUGUGCAUCUUCAGAAGCUUUCCAUCAACAAUGAGGGCACCAAGCUCAUUGUCCUCAACAGCCUUAAGAAGAUGGUCAACCUGACAGAGCUUGAGCUGAUCCGGUGUGACUUGGAACGCAUUCCUCACUCCAUCUUUAGCCUCCACAAUCUGCAGGAAAUAGAUCUAAAGGACAACAACCUAAAGACCAUUGAGGAAAUCAUCAGCUUCCAGCACUUACAUCGUCUCACUUGCCUUAAAUUGUGGUACAACCACAUUGCCUACAUCCCCAUGCAGAUAGGCAACCUGACCAACUUAGAACGCCUUUAUCUGAACCGUAACAAGAUAGAAAAGAUCCCUACCCAGCUCUUCUAUUGCCGAAAACUUCGGUACUUGGAUCUCAGCCACAACAACUUAACUUUCAUACCACCAGAUGUUGGACUUCUUCAAAACCUGCAGAAUCUGGCUGUGACAGCCAACAGGAUUGAGAGUCUCCCACCAGAGCUGUUCCAGUGCAGGAAGCUGAGAACCUUGAACCUGGGGAACAACGUGCUGCAGUCACUGCCCUCCCGAGUGGGAGAGCUAACGAACCUGUCGCAGAUUGAGCUGCGAGGGAACCGCCUGGAGUGCUUGCCUGUGGAGCUGGGAGAGUGCCCGCUGCUGAAACGCAGUGGGCUCGUGGUGGAGGAGGACCUGUUCAACACCCUGCCCUUGGAAGUCAAAGAGCGCCUGUGGAGGGCAGACAAAGAGCAAGCUUGAACCCCCCAGAAAAGGGAAAAGCCUCUGAUCAACUAGAAGGAAGCAAAAGGCCAUUUCAGUCCCCUUUCACCCAGAUGCUCCCCUUUUUCCACUCCAAUCACUAUCAAACUGGCCAAGGAGUCCUUGACAAACAUGACUCUGAAUGAGUCAGCUUCUUGCCUCAGAUGCAGGAUGGGGGAGGCUUGGGAUCAGGAUGAAAAUCGAGACUGAUUAAUUGGCCUCUGAGCAGGCCCCAGGGGGAAUUAGAGGUGUUGCUGUUCUUCUGGACAGGAAAUGGGGUGAGGUGGUUGGUGCUGGUGAGAUGAAAUGAUCUUUGAAUGGAGGAGAAAAUGAAUGUGGGGAUCGCUGCAUUGCUCCUAAUAGGGCUUAUAUGUGUCAGGGACUGAGGGAGUCCAGUGUCCUGCAAGCAAAGAUCAAGAGACAAGGAAACCUCUUGAACCUCCAUCUCUGUAACAGCUGGUACUGCUCCCCUCUGACUCAGAUUCAGUCAGUGAGGCCCCAGAUUGGGGUGGGAUAGGACACAGACAGCUGAUUUUAUCUAGAUGCUGGCAUUAGGAUUUUUGGAGAUAAAUAUCUCUCAGCUGCUUGAAGGCAGAUUUUUUUUUUUUUUAACAACGAAUUUUCUUUCCCCUUUGCACACUCCUCACCUUCUCCUUUGCCCCUGGAGAAGGAACCAACCUAUCUGCUCCUUUAAGAUUGCACUACUGUAACGGUUUCAAGUCACUUGUGUAGGUGAGUAGAUCAGAGCAUCCUUCUCCAGCUGAUGUCCUGGAGGCACUAACUGACACAAUUCCAGAGCUUUAGCCUGUUCAGAAAUGGAUGGAUAUAGUGCAAGUGGGAGAUCUGGAAAAAAAGCAGUUGGGACUGUCUAAUCUACUCUCUCAGAAGCAUUGAGUUGCUUCUGGCUUUUAGUUCUAAGUUACUUUUUAACUGCUGGUAUUUUGUUGCAUAUCAAGUAGAAAUGUACAACUGGCCAGUGUGUCAGGGGCUCUCAUGGGGUUGGAGAGGAAAUGUGGGUUUCCUCUGCACCUCUAGUCCCCCAUUCUGCCUUCCCCCACAAUUAAGUUGUUAAAUUCAGUUGUUCAAUGCUCUGCCAGUGUUUUUCAUGGAUGCAAUCUAGAGAACUGCUUGAUUGUUCUCACUUUAACUGCUGUCAGUUCCUGUUACACCUCUUGACAUAAAUAAGAGGCUAAUGCUGAUUGAACCUGGUGCUGGAAAAAAAACCUUGUCCCCCUAUUUCUUCCUUCCCUUUUCAUUCCCUCAGUGAUAAGGAGGAGAAUGAGAAUCCUCAGUGGACUGAGCUCUUCUGGCUUCCUGGAACAGAGCAGCCUUUACUGAAACAAGUUUGACCUGUUUGGUGGUAUUUGACAAAAAACCCCACAACCUUCUGGGCUGGCAGAAGUAGAUAAUGUGUAACAGUUACUGAUUUUCAUGUCCUUAAGGUGGGGUGGUUAGGAUGCCUCCAGGACACAAAGGCCUUCAUUUUUCCAUCAGAAGGAAGAGGAUGUGCCUGGACCCACAGGUCCUGGUUGUAACACUCUGCAUCAGACCAACAGGUCAGCACCAAGGUGCAGUGCUGCAAGCUGGGCCACGAGAAGUUUGGAGGCCUUCCAUGUGUACAAAGGGGGAAGCUCCAUCCAGCUCCAGAGGCAUUCCUGACAAGCUGCCAGCAAAUGCCCUGGCUCAUCACCUGGCUUGUGGUGAUCCCGUUGAUGUUGGGGCAAUAAGGCACAGUGUGGCUCUCUUCAUCAGAUGUAAGAUAUGAAACAUAUAUAUAUACUAAAUAUGCUGAAACCAUGAACAAUGUUGACUGGACUCUGGAUUUAUUGAUGUUCGGAUGCUUAAAUAAAGCUACAUUAAAAUCAGGAGAUCUGUUUAUAAAACUGCUUUUAAGAAAAAUGUAAAUCUUGCUUCCCUUAGUCCAUUCAUUGUGCAACGUCUAAACAGUCCUGGGGAUAAUAUAAUUAAAUCUCCAUCUGGGAGGCAAGGUACUGUAAAAGCUUUUCUGGCUUCUAAUAGGGUUAGUGUCUUGAAAUUGUGUUAGAGCUGGGGCCACAGCUGAAAGGAUGGGGAAGGACUGAUGCUGAUUGGAUUGUAUUUGUAUUUGCAUUUGCCUGAGCCUUUUGGAUCACAGAAAGGACAGUAAUUGCUAGGUGGGCUUUGCUUCUUGAGUAAAGCAGGAAUGGCUUCAGGUUUAGCUACAGCAAUGCUGUUUUCCAGUCAGUUCCCUGUGGUGGGUGUGGAGGCUGUUUGGAUGGUGAAGGAAAUUUUUUUCCUUAGUCUAUGCUAAAAGAUAGCGCUGUAGAGUAUGGCCUCUGAAUGGAGACAUGGACUCUGUUUGCUAUUCAAGGCCACUGGGUGACUUUUAUUACACAUGUAUUUUAGACCAGGCAGGGCUGAAAGGGCAAAGCACCCCCUAGGAGUUUCACCUGGUUCAUAGGAGUGAGAUUUCUCCAGGAAAUCUGUAGAUCUCCAAUCUCUAGAUUGGAGAUGAGUGCUUUGACACUUGUUUCCAGGUGUGGUCUUAGUUAUACAACCUAAACUUUGCACAGCUGGGUUAGUUUCUCUGAGCAGCUCCUGGAAGUGUGCUACAAUGCUUCUAGAAGCUUGCAAGCUCCUGAGCAGCUCUGUAUCCCAGUAGGAUAGGUGAACAACAGGCUCUUCUGCCAGAAGGGAGGUACUGCCUCCGACUCCUGACCAAGUCACAGUGCUGUGCUCCUGCUGCUUGCUGAGUAGAGACUGGCCUGGGCCUGAGGUAUGCAAAGCAAUUGUAAGGCUGGUAUUGAUCAUGCAUGAAAAGGCCAGCUUUGUGCUGCUUCUGCAAUAGUCCGAGCUUAACUCUUGGUUAUGACUGCUGGGGCUUGAGAGCUUCCUAUGUGGCAAAGUGGGGAUGAGCAGUCUGAUAACAUUUUGUACUGGAAACACAAAUACAUUGUCACUCUGAAGGAGAGCAAUAUGUAUUAUUUAUUUCUGAUACGUGCUGCUUGGUCUUGCUUUUGAUUCCGGAGUGUCAGUCUUGUAUGACAAGAUGUAAAAAGCUUUAGAACUUCCAAGUAUAGGAUCUCUAGACCACGAGUCCUGAACAUGUUUGAGGACUGCUGCAAAACUCAACCCACAGCAGAGCGAGUCACUUCCCAAACUUUUCUGGAUUGCUCAUUCUGUGGGGGAUGUGCUUACAUCAACAGUCCAUCCUCAUUGCAAGUAUUCAAUCCAUGAAUAUUCUGUAUUUUCCUUCAAGUUUCCAUCAGACUGAAGCCUAGGGGGUUUAUUUCUGACACAGAUCUAUCUAUGCAUUCACAAAAAGGAUUCAGUUUAAGCAGACAGUCACUGCCCUGGUCAGUGUCUUGUUCUCCUGACAAGCUUUUCCAAACAGUAGCAAACCAGAUUAUUUAUUAGCUGCUAAACCAUACAGCAACUUGAAUUAAACCCACCUGUUUCCUUAAUAGCACUUCUGACUGAACAAGUUCUUGGAGAUCACAAGGAUGCUCAUCCCUUGUUAGGAUUGAAGGUUAGUGACAUGCACUUUACCUUUCCUGCUAAAUACCCCAAAAAGUGAUAAGUUGCAAUUAUUUUGAACCAGCUGAAAGGCAAGGAAUACCAAUUAAAUGUGUAAAAUUGUGCUGUACUCUGACACUAUGCACUGAAAUGUUAGCUGAAGUUGUUCUGUGUUUAAGAUUAUUUUCUGGUUUUAUUUUUUGAUCCCCAGUUAAUUCAGCAGCUGGAAGUAAUUUACUCUGUCAGUCUGAGUGGUUAAAUAGCUGUUACAGGUAUCUUUCAUGAUGUGCUGUUCUUUCAUAUUAAUUGUCAUUUCUUUUUAAUAUCCUACCUCAUUUUUUAUUUUUUCUUACUGCCAUUUUUACACUCCAUUUAGCUCACUCCAUUUUAAUUAAAGUACUUGGUGUUCAUUACCAUAAAUAGUAUUAAGUGGCUUUCUGUUGCUGAACCACAUGAAAUCCUCUUCUUUUUUUUUCCCUCUUUAACAAUUGAUUCUAGGAAUUCUGAGAACAAUAACGCAUACUUUACAGAGGAUGAGUUGUCUGGAAAAAAGUUUCAAAUUGUAUUGAUUCCUAGGCUGUGACAUUGUUUCCUUUCCUUACCUCUUUUCCUGCUUUAGAAUAGAACUCACACGGUUUAAGUUCUUUGGAUUUUUAAAGUUUUUUUUUCAGUCCUCCUUCAGGGGAGGGGUAACUUUUUUUUUUCCCCCCUCAUCAAUAGUUGUGCCUUCUCUAGAGAUCUGUUAAUGUAACAUCUCCCCAGAGGCACUUGUUCCCUGGAGUGUAUUUGUAGCGGUGCCUGCCUGAAGCCAACUCAUCCCUUGGAUUCUUUUUCUUUCAACCAUGGAGAGAUUUCCUAACUUCUGGGGUGACUUCUCACUGCCGGACAAUAUUGUCAUACUGUAAGCAGAGUAACCUGCUCUGAAAUUCACAUAAGGUAAGGCUGUGAGGAUGCUGACAAGUAAAAUUAUUGCUUAUACUUAACUUUUAAAAUUUUUCCUCCAUUUUAACCCUACUGUUUGGCUCAGUGGAUAAUGUAAUUUUCCCAAGCACGUGCCAAAACUGAGUGAGUUUUCUGUCCUACCUCAUUCUAACAGUGUACAAAGCACAACUGGAAUGGAGCAGGAUUAUUAAAGUUUGAUUCAGACCCUUCUCCCUCCAGCAGUGGCAGUGGGUUAAUAUUAAACUGCUUUGGGAGUAUGAAAUCCUCCAGAAAUCCAAAAUCCAGUUUCUAAAGUAGCAGCGCUUGAAUUGCUCUACCCCAGUGGCAAAGGUCAACUUCAUGUGAGUUCACACAAAGGCUUAAUUUAGGAUUCCCGGAAUUUUCCAUCCCUUCCUCCCUCUGUCUCCUUUAAAGGAAUUUUACCAGACAAUGGAAGAGUUUUUCUGGAGGAGACAUAAUGAGAAAAGGGGGCUACUGAGCCUGAGUCAUCUUUACAGCUGACAAAUGUGUCCAUUUCAAAACGUCACUACUCAUGGCUUAAACAUUGUUCACUCCCAUUGUGUAAAUGCACGACAGGGCUGUGGUUUGGCAUCUGGGACCUGCAACUUGGUGUAACAUUUCAGAGUCGUGACAUUCACUUUGUACAUGGGAUUGUUUGGGCAGCUGAGCAACAGCACCUUCCCCAUGAGCACUGAAGGCUGCUCUUGUUUGCUCUGAAAGACUUGUACAACUGGGCACUUCACCAGAAUAAAAGUUUUAAUUUGCAUUUUC